rnacentral:rRNA from 1 species
CUACGGGGCGCACCAGUGGGGAAUUUUGCGCAAUGGGCGAAAGCCUGACGCAGCAAUACCGCGUGAGUGAAGAGGGCCUUUGGGUCGUAAAGCUCUUUUCUGGGGGAAGAUAGUGACGGUACCCCAGGAAUAAGCACCGGCUAACUCCGUGCCAGCAGCCGCGGUAAUACGGAGGGUGCAAGCGUUGUUCGGAUUUACUGGGCGUAAAGGGCACGUAGGCGGCACAGCAAGUUAAGGGUGAAAUCCCGGGGCUCAACUCCGGAACUGCUCUUAAAACUGCUGAGCUAGAGAUAGUCAGAGGCGGGUGGAAUUCCUGGUGUAGAGGUGAAAUUCGUAGAUAUCAGGAGGAACACCGGUGGCGAAGGCGGCCCGCUGGGGCUAUUCUGACGCUAAGGUGCGAAAGCGUGGGGAGCGAACGGGAUUAGAUACCCUAGUAGUC